UACGGAGGGUGCAAGCGUUAUCCGGAUUCACUGGGUUUAAAGGGCGCGUAGGCGGCCGCCUAAGUCAGACGUGAAAUCCCUCGGCUCAACCGGGGAACUGCGUCUGAUACUGGGUGGCUUGAAUCCGGGAGAGGGAUGCGGAAUUCCAGGUGUAGCGGUGAAAUGCGUAGAUAUCAGGAGGAACACCGGUGGUGUAGACGGCUUUCUGGACCGUAACUGACGCUGAGACACGAAAGCGUGGGUAGCAAACAGG
rnacentral:rRNA from 1 species